AAAACAAAGCUACCCCACCCAAAACCCAGAUAUUUUUCUUAAGCCUGAUUGAAGCCAUUUGUGUUUAAAAGUUCUGACAGAUGUAAACACAUGCACAGGCAAUCUGGAUACCACUUCUUUAUAUACAAGCAAGCUGUUCAGACUCCACUAAAAUUAUUUCCCAGGACUGUAGAAAGAGUUGUUGCUGAAUUCAGGCUGUACAUUCAGGAACAUCAGGCUUAUUGUGGAUAUGCUGUUCAGUUCUCAGCUCCAGCUGCACUUCAGAGGGAAAGCAAGAUCUCUGGAUAUUUCAAGAUAAAGGUCUCAGCUUUGGUUUGUGCAAUGUAAUAGAAUCAACAGGAUCAGAGAAGAGGUCUUCCUUUUCAGAAUUACUGAUCUGGUACCAGGAAAACUUCCAGCAUAUUGUUUAAAUGUAAAUAAUUGGUGUAGUGGUUUGGCCAGGAAGUGUAUUUCUGGAAAAGUUGUGGUCAAACCAAUCAGUGGCCAGAUUUGGAAUUGGCACCUGUGGUGGCCACUGGGGACCUGGAUACGCCUCUGAGAACACACAGGGGUUAAAAGCAGAGGAUUCCCAGAGAACUUCCUUUUUGGAUCCAGCAGUGAGUGGAGUUUGAACCUCUCCCCUGCCCAGCUGCGUCUGGGUGGGGGAGGGGAAGGCCAUGCAUCCUGUGGGGAGGGAGGCCAGAGCCCCUGCGAGGUGCAGGGGUGGAAGAGACCUGGGAUGUUUGGGCAGGUCCCCCCCCACCCCGGGAGAGAGUGAUAAGAGACUGUGCUGGCUUGAACUUUGAUAGCUUGUGCCGGCACCAUAGCCAGGAGAAGAAGGGAGGGUGGGGCAAGGUGCCCAGCCGCCGGCAGACCUUGGCUGGAGUUUUAACCCCUUUGGUGCUGGGACAGUGGAAGCUGCAAAAAACACUGAUCCUCCCCAGCUGAGAACUGAGAGGGGACGGAGGAUGUGCAGAUGAGAAGGAGGCUUGAGUGAGUGAAGAAAUACCAGCAGAUGAGAAGCGCCCUAGAUAGAAGAGAUGAUUUGGAGUGGCCUUUUGGCUGGACUUUUCUCUUACGUGGCUACGGGACGGAACCAAAUCUUCCUGUAAUGUAGGGACUGCACCUUGGGGGAGGUGGUUGGCCAGGAGCCACAAAGCCAUUGUGAGAAGAAGUAGAGGGAACAGAGACUGAUGGGGAGGGUGUGGUGGAGCCCUCUGCCUUCAGCGGAGAAGGAUCUCUGUUCAUGAGGCCCCUGGGCCCCAGGGGUUGAAAUAUGGGGGGGGACAGGUGUCCCAAAUGGUGAGAGGCUGCCACUUCUUGGAACUGGGCGAGGCAUUCUUAAAGGACCUAAGAAGCAGUUUGGAUCCAUGGACAGUGGUGAGAGCACUGGACAUGGAAGGAAGAUGGUCACCACGGCAGAUUCUCUCCGGGCGGCUGCCACGUGUGACAUGGAAGCACAGGAGGUUCCAACUGUGUUUCCUGGGGAGGCCCAUGGUGCAAGAGAGAGACUCCUCUCUCCGGAUGAACUGGGGGGAAGCUGUGUGAAGGAUGGUAUUGGAUUGAGAAUUCAGUGUUAGAGGGGAUUGAGUGUUAGAGGGGUGGAGGGACGAGGAGUGUUUUGGAGUUUUUCCAUUGUGGAUUGCUGUGUGAGGGUUUUUUGGGGUUUUUUGUGCCUUUGGUUUUUUGUUUGUUUUUUUUUCCUUUUGUCUCAUACACUGUAGAUUAAUAAAGUGUUGUGUUUUUCCCUCCAUUUCCAAGU